AUUAGUGGCGAACGGGUGAGUAACACGUGGGCAAUCUGCCCUUCACUCUGGGACAAGCCCUGGAAACGGGGUCUAAUACCGGAUACGAGUCCGGGAGGCAUCUCCUGGACUGGAAAGCUCCGGCGGUGAAGGAUGAGCCCGCGGCCUAUCAGCUUGUUGGUGGGGUAAUGGCCUACCAAGGCGACGACGGGUAGCCGGCCUGAGAGGGCGACCGGCCACACUGGGACUGAGACACGGCCCAGACUCCUACGGGAGGCAGCAGUGGGGAAUAUUGCACAAUGGGCGAAAGCCUGAUGCAGCGACGCCGCGUGAGGGAUGACGGCCUUCGGGUUGUAAACCUCUUUCAGCAGGGAAGAAGCGAGAGUGACGGUACCUGCAGAAGAAGCGCCGGCUAACUACGUGCCAGCAGCCGCGGUAAUACGUAGGGCGCAAGCGUUGUCCGGAAUUAUUGGGCGUAAAGAGCUCGUAGGCGGCUUGUCACGUCGGGUGUGAAAGCCCGGGGCUUAACCCCGGGUCUGCAUCCGAUACGGGCAGGCUAGAGUGUGGUAGGGGAGAUCGGAAUUCCUGGUGUAGCGGUGAAAUGC
rnacentral:rRNA from 1 species